UACGAAGGGAGCUAGCGUUGUUCGGAAUUACUGGGCGUAAAGGGCGCGUAGGCGGUUUGACAAGUUGGAUGUGAAAGCCCGGAGCUCAACUCCGGAAUUGCAUUCAAGACUGUUUUACUUGAAUUCGGUAGAGGUUGGUGGAAUUCCCAGUGUAGAGGUGAAAUUCGUAGAGAUUGGGAAGAACACCCGUGGCGAAGGCGGCCAACUGGACCGACAUUGACGCUGAGGCGCGAAAGCGUGGGGAUCAAACAGG
rnacentral:rRNA from 1 species